rnacentral:rRNA from 1 species
AACAUGCCAGCAGCCGCGGUAAUACGUAGGUGGCAAGCGUUGUACGGAUUUACNUGGGCGUAAAGGGAGCGUAGGUGGAUAUUUAAGUGGGAUGUGAAAUACUCGGGCUUAACCUGGGUGCUGCAUUCCAAACUGGAUAUCUAGAGUGCAGGAGAGGAAAGUAGAAUUCCUAGUGUAGCGGUGAAAUGCGUAGAGAUUAGGAAGAAUACCAGUGGCGAAGGCGACUUUCUGGACUGUAACUGACACUGAGGCUC